AUUAACCGUAGUUAGGUUAGAUGGUAUAUAUACAUACUAGAUUUUAACCCGCGGUAUACCGCGAAAACAAUUUAUUUUUUAAAGUUAAUAUACAUAAAAGUUUGCAAAUUAUAUCUAUUAUAAA
rnacentral:sRNA from 1 species